GUUGAAACACUAGUUCCCAUACAAUCACCAAAGUUAAGCAACUUCAAGCAUGGUCAGUACAUAGAUGGGUGAUCACUUGGGAAUAGUAGGUGCUGUAA